rnacentral:lncRNA from 1 species
UAUAGUUCCGAGAACUUCCACAAGGGUGGUAAGGUUGGCAGUUCUAAUAGAAUUCUAUUAGAAUUGCCAACCCUACCACCCUUAUGGAAGUUCUCAGAACUGUAGGCUUAAUCCCAAUGUUGUCAAUAGAGCUACCUUCUCAGGUUUGCUGCCUCCAUCUGAAAUUAUUUCUAGCAUCUGGGUCUCUCAGCCAAUCACCUACAGUGCCUUUCAUGAACAGUGGCAUCAUCAGAUGUCACAGUGCUGGUGACAUCUGAUGUCACAAUAGUUUGUCAUAUGACCAGACUAGACUGAAGGAUGGAUGAUCACUCAUGCAAAGCAGUUCAGAGUCAUGUGCCAGCUAAGUGAAUCUGGCAUGGGCAGCUGACAUUGAUGUUCCAGUUGACAUUUCUGUAAAUGAAGAGGGAACCCCAAAGGAAAACAAUGCAUCUGAAACCAACCCCAUAGAAGAUUCAGGGUCAAAUCCAGAAUCUUCUACAGAAGAGGAACCUGCUGAUGGUGAUCCAGAAUCUUCUACAGAAGAGGAACCUGCUGAUGGUGCUGCACCCUCUUGUACAGAAGUGCAACCUUCUGAUGAUGAUCAAGACCCUUCUGCUGAUGAAGCACCUUCUGAUGAUGAUUGGGAGCAAGCAGGAAGUGACAAUGAGAGUAAUUAUAUUGUAAAUAAAAUUUGGGAUCUGAUACUGUCAAUGCUAUUUAAGAGGCCAUUUCUGAUAUAGUCCUUAUUCCUGAAGAGCGAAUAUCCACCUUCUUCUCUAGAAGCAUUGGAAAUUGAAGUUUGGUCAUGACAUUAAUGAAUUGAAAUAAAUAAAACAACCUACCCUUUCUCAGCAAUAAAU